GAUUUCUGGUUCGGCGCACUUGGCCCGUCUCGGUCUACGGGAUUGUGUGCCGGUGUGCGCCAUCCAUCCUUCAGGUGACCCUUUCGCCCUUUACUGGGUGGGAGAUUGACCCUGAUCUUUUACUUUGAAAAAAUUAGAGUGUUUAAAGCAGGCUUGCGCUAUGAAUACAUUAGCAUGGAAUAAUAAUUUAGGACUUUGGUCUUAUUUUGUUGGUUUCUAGGACUAAAGUAAUGAUUGAUAGGGACAGUUGGGGGUGCUAGUAUUCAGCGGCCAGAGGUGAAAUUCUUGGAUUCGCUGAAGACUAACUUAUGCGAAAGCAUU
rnacentral:rRNA from 1 species